rnacentral:rRNA from 1 species
UACGUAGGGGGCAAGCGUUGUCCGGAGUUACUGGGCGUAAAGCGCACGCAGGCGGUCUGCUAAGUUUGGUGUGACAGUUGGUGGCUCAACUUCCAAAGUGCUUUGAAAACUGACAGACUUGAGGACUUCAGAGGGACACGGAAUUCCGGGUGGAGUGGUGAAAUGCGUAGAGAUCCGGAGGACCACCAGUGGCGAAGGCGACUUACUGGACACAUAUUGACGCUGAGGUGCGAAAGCGUGGGGAGCAAACAGG